rnacentral:rRNA from 1 species
AGAGUUUGAUCCUGGCUCAGAACGAACGCUGGCGGCAUGCCUAACACAUGCAAGUCGAACGCGAGGGCUUUCGGGCCCUUGAGUGGCGCACGGGUGAGUAGCGCGUGGGAACCUGCCUUUCAGUGGGGGAUAACCGAGGGAAACUUCGGCUAAUACCGCAUGCGCCGGGAGCGAUCCCGGGAAAGAUUUAUCGCUGAAAG